rnacentral:piRNA from 1 species
UACUGACGCUUCUACUGCUUUUUUCAGU